rnacentral:rRNA from 1 species
GUGGGGAAUAUUGGGCAAUGGGGGAAACCCUGACCCAGCAACGCCGCGUGAAGGAAGAAGGCUUUCGGGUUGUAAACUUCUUUUACCAGGGACGAAACAAAUGACGGUACCUGGUGAAUAAGCCACGGCUAACUACGUGCCAGCAGCCGCGGUAAUACGAAGGGGGCUAGCGUUGCUCGGAUUUACUGGGCGUAAAGGGCGCGUAGGCGGACAUUUAAGUCAGGGGUGAAAUCCCGGGGCUCAACCUCGGAACUGCCUUUGAUACUGGGUGUCUUGAGUAUGAGAGAGGUGUGUGGAACUCCGAGUGUAGAGGUGAAAUUCGUAGAUAUUCGGAAGAACACCAGUGGCGAAGGCGACACACUGGCUCAUUACUGACGCUGAGGCGCGAAAGCGUGGGGAGCAAACAGGAUUAGAUACCCUAGUAGUCC